rnacentral:rRNA from 1 species
GUGCCAGGCGCCGCGGUAAUACGGAGGGUGCAAACGUUGUUCGGAAUUAUUGGGCGUAAAGAGCAUGUAGGCGGUUCUUUAAGUCUGAUGUGAAAGCCCUGGGCUCAACCCAGGAAGUGCAUUGGAUACUGGAUAUCUUGAGUACGGGAGAGGAAAGUGGAAUUUCGAGUGUAGGGGUGAAAUCCGUAGAUAUUCGAAGGAACACCAGUGGCGAAGGCGGCUUUCUGGACCGAUACUGACGCUGAGAUGCGAAAGCGUGGGGAGCAAACAGGAUUAGAUACCCUAGUAGUCC